UGGCUCAGGAUGAACGCUAGCGGCAGGCUUAACACAUGCAAGUCGAGGGGUAACAGAGGAGCUUGCUCUUGCUGACGACCGGCGCACGGGUGCGUAACGCGUAUACAAUCUGCCUUACACUAAGGGAUAGCCCAGAGAAAUUUGGAUUAACACCUUAUAGUUUAUUUUUAUGGCAUCAUUUAAAUAAUAAAGUUUACGGUGUAAGAUGAGUAUGCGUCCCAUUAGUUUGUUGGUAAGGUAACGGCUUACCAAGACUACGAUGGGUAGGGGCCCUGAGAGGGGGAUCCCCCACACUGGUACUGAGACACGGACCAGACUCCUACGGGAGGCAGCAGUGAGGAAUAUUGGACAAUGGAGGAGACUCUGAUCCAGCCAUGCCGCGUGCAGGAAGACGGUCCUAUGRAUUGUAAACUGCUUUUAUACAGGAAGAAUAAGGACUACGUGUAGUCUGGUGACGGUACUGUAAGAAUAAGGACCGGCUAACUCCGUGCCAGCAGCCGCGGUAAUACGGAGGGUCCGAGCGUUAUCCGGAAUUAUUGGGUUUAAAGGGUCCGUAGGCGGGCUGUUAAGUCAGGGGUGAAAGUUUGCAGCUCAACUGUAGAAUUGCCUUUGAUACUGAUGGUCUUGAAUUAUUGUGAAGUGGUUAGAAUAUGUAGUGUAGCGGUGAAAUGCAUAGAUAUUACAUAGAAUACCGAUUGCGAAGGCAGAUCACUAACAAUUGAUUGACGCUGAUGGACGAAAGCGUGGGUAGCGAACAGGWUUAGA
rnacentral:rRNA from 1 species